rnacentral:lncRNA from 1 species
AAAUGGUUUAAAAUUUUAUUUCUGACUCUCAGUUUAGGAGUGAUAGCGCCUAGAUUUCAAUCACAUGGGUUGACUGACAUACAGAAGGUCAUGGUGUGACCCCAACAUGACAGCCAGCUUUCUGAAAGCAAAUGAGCAGUCAGGUAAGGUGAACACAAAAAAAAAGGAGAAAGAGAAAACUAGCUAGUCCCUUUGCGGGACAAGGAGUAUCAGCAAGUUUCUUUGGUCUGAUACCAAGAUCUGAAUGUCAACUUUAGUGACUUUUACCAAUGUUUAUGCAGGUUGAACCAUAUGAAACUCCUGAUAGUCUACUGGUUUUGACUGACAAAAUCAUAUUUCAUAUGAUUCAACCAGCUGCUUUUGGGGCAAUAUCAUGUCCACACCCUAAAACUUGGCAUAACCUGCAAUUGCUUUAACUCUAAAGCCUUAAGCUGCCUGACUGCAGCCUCCUGUCCUCCUAAACCUCUCAUGUCCUCAUUUCUAUAAUGAAUCCAUGUCUGCAGCCAAGACCAGUUUGCAGAUCCGCUGGCCCAUGGAGCCAAAAGUCCCCUGGGCAUCUCAGCAAGGAACUCCCUCAGCGUGAUAAUUUUUUUUCCUCUUUCGUUUUUCUGUCUUUUUUUUUCUUUUUUAAACCUCACUGAAUGUAGUGACUCACCGCCACUGAAGAGAAUAAAGGAGAAUGUGCCACUUCUGAGACUGAGUCAUGGGAAGCACCACGGCCUCCAUCUUGGAUGAGAAGCAACAAGGAACAUGUAAAUGAGAGAAGGCAGAGAGGACUGUGACAAGGAGUCUGCGACUUUGGCUGUGCUAGGACAGAAGAGGCAGUUUAAGACACUGAAAGACGGACAUCAAGACAAAGGGUGGAAGGUGGUGAGGAGAUGUGGGACAUCUCUAACCUGCUGAACACUUUUCUCCACUGGCACAGACCGCAGUCUGACCUCAUUCCUGCCUCCCUCUUCAGACAGAGAGCUCCCAAACUGAGGACCUGUAUUUGUUCGUCUGGAGACCCUAAGCCCCUGAAAGAAAAUAUCUGGAAGAAUAUGGUACCCAACUGCUACAGUGGCUACUUCUGAAAAGAGAUUGGAAAGAGAGAGGAGAUUUUCCAGUUCAUAAAAGUGAAAUCAGGUGCUGGAAGGUAAGUGCUCUAGAAUGCAUGUGAAAUGACAAAAGUGAGAUAGAAAACUUCACAUCACAUACAAACAGUUUCCUAAGACACCUACCAUGUGUGUUCACUUCGAAAAAAUAAAAAUAUACAAAAAAAUUAAAAGCA